CCUACGGGUGGCAGCAGUGGGGAAUAUUGGACAAUGGGCGAAAGCCUGAUCCAGCCAUGCCGCGUGUGUGAAGAAGGCCUUCGGGUUGUAAAGCACUUUCAGUGGGGAAGAAAGCCUUGGGGCUAAUACCCUCGAGGAAGGACAUCACCCACAGAAGAAGCACCGGCUAACUCCGUGCCAGCAGCCGCGGUAAUACGGAGGGUGCGAGCGUUAAUCGGAAUUACUGGGCGUAAAGCGCGCGUAGGCGGUCUGAUAAGCCGGUUGUGAAAGCCCCGGGCUCAACCUGGGAACGGCAUCCGGAACUGUCAGGCUAGAGUGCAGGAGAGGAAGGUAUAAUUCCCGGUGUAGCAGUGAAAUGCGUAGAGAUCGGGAGGAAUACCAGUGGCGAAGGCGGCCUUCUGGACUGACACUGACGCUGAGGUGCGAAAGCGUGGGUAGCAAACAGGAUUAGAUACCCGUGUAGUC
rnacentral:rRNA from 1 species